UAUAAAAAAAAUCCAACUCCACUGCCGCCCAUUGUCAUCCCUACCUCUCCUCUUUCACGACUCAAAAACCCAAAAGAAUCUCUAGAGUUUAAAGUAAAUAAUGCUUGACAAAAUGGAAGCAAAGAAACAAGAAAUUAUGGAUGCUUCUUUUUUGAUUGCCUCGACUGCUGCUCUCCGGGAUGUCAAACUGCAUAGUCACAUGAGUUGCCGUAAUUGAUGCGGGAUUUUUAUUCAAUAGAAGAUAUUUCCUAGAUUUUGAAGGGGUGAUCAAUCUGCAAAUCUAUGAGACUCUGAGGUUUUAUUCAUGGAUUGAUGUUGAGAUGUGACUGCACGGUUCUAUGUGUGUCUAAAGAUGCAGCCUGUAAUGGAGUAGCUUUUGCUUUCUUUCUCGUCCACCGCCUGGAAUGAUGUUCUUUGAUUGCUUUCUAAUACAGGAGUGAUUACAGCAAGUGGAUAAUCAUUAAAAUCUUGCAGUACUAUUUUGUAGUACAAAGGUACCAGCACUCACUGAGACUGGUUCUGAAUGUCAACUUUUGUAUCCCAAUUAUCAAAUCCUUGGAAAAUGGUUUCUGACUAUACGGUGCUGGAAGUGUUAAUAGCUGCCUUAUAAUAUUAAUCAAACUUAGGCACAAUUUUGAUCCAGUGUCAAAGAUAUUUGGGUAUGAAGAAGAAAAGUUCAGCAAGUGUUUCAGAACUUUCAGCCAAAAAGGGCCAUUAACUUUUGACAGGAAGUUCAACCUCGUAAUUUCUACUUAUGGAAAAUCAUGCACCAUUAGCAUACAUAAGCCUUGAUUAUUAUUGUGAUUUGGCAGCCUAACAUUACCUUCUGUUUUGUUAUUUCAAGCCAGGUUCAAAUAGGAGAAUGGGGGAAUAGAAUUUUAGAAUUAGCAGAAUUAGUAUAGUUCUGAUAUAUCGUAAUGCAUCAUUGGGAUCUUAACUUCUGAGUCCAGGCCAAAAUGGAGUUACCUGAGGAUUCUCAUCUGCAUGUCUGUUCUUUUGCUUGUGGCUGGUGAAUAUAAUUUAUCUCUUGAUCACUAGAUAAGAGCCAGUGGUGUGGUGGACGUGGAAAGCUAGAGCUGCUUCUGAAGAACCCUAUACAAUGAGAAAGUUGAAAGUAUUAUCUGGGGUAUGUUCUCUGUUAAAUAUAUAAAAAAUAAGACAGCAGGAGACUAAGAUUUCAUUGAUACUGUAUAAUGUAAUCACACUAAUCUAAAGUAAUAUGGUUAACUUAAAUAUAAAGAGAUUAUAUAUAGACUAAACUAAAAAGAAAAUUAAAAAUAUUAUUCUACUUUUAAUAAAUAAAACAAAAUAAUUCUAUAUUUUUUAAUAUUCUCGUCAUAAAGAAAGUUUAACUUGUUUGAAUAUGAGCACAAAAAGGAGAAACUUGUUUGAAUAUGCAGCUAGGUGGCUGCUAAUUCUACGGCAACUGGUAUGAUGAUUUUUUGUAAGUUAUUGUAAUGCUAUUCUUCCAUGUCUGACUUCGAGGUUCAUGAAUGCAACCCCCCUUGUUUUUACCGUGAAAAUGUGAUCCUUGGGGCACCUGAAAACAAUUAGGUAUUGUGCUUGCUAGUCGUAGGGAAUUUAUUAAAGAUUAAGCAAUGUAAAAUGUGAAUCACCCUGAUUAAAAAACACUCUAUAUUGUGGUUGCUAGUCUAAUCACCAUCUUAUUGAAAGUCAAUACUCCUCUAACCAGCAGUUUGUGACAUUACAACCAGCCCGAUCACUCCUGGUAACUCUUUUGUUGAACAUUGUACUGACUUUAAAUGCAUUUCUUUGACUUCUGAAUUGAUUUCUUGUGAUGCUUUUAAGUCUAUCUACUCCUUUAUUUUGAUUCUAUGAUACAAUUUAUACGUGAAAUUGAAAAGAAAUUGCACUGGACAACGACAGAAUACUACUCUUAAGUGUGGCGGCGGUGUGUUUACACACCCACACCACAAGCUAGAUUUCUUGCAACUUUGGCAGCUAAACAGAAAUUAUCUAUCAAAAACGUCACCACUUACUUGAUCUUGUGCGCUGUUGCCUUGUAUAAUAAUAUUCUUAUCAUAUCCUUUCGAGGUAGGUGUAAGCACUGACUUGUAUAUUCAUCAAGAUAAUAAUUCAAGUUUGAACUUGGAGCUUGCUGGAUAUGACUUUUGUUUAUUUUACAAUUUUUUCUUUCUUUCACGUCAUGUACGUGCAUUGUUUUUCCUGGAUAUGUACAAGCACCCGUGUAAAACAUAUCAGUAUUUAUUUUCUUCAGGAAAUAUUGGAGUGCACAUUUCACAACAUCUUUUUAUAUAUAUAAUUGAAUCCAUUCUCUUCA